GAUGAAGAACGUAGCGAAAUGCGAUACGUAAUGUGAAUUGCAGAAUUCAGUGAAUCAUCGAGUCUUUGAACGCACAUUGCGCCCUCUGGUAUUCCGGAGGGCAUGCCUGUCCGAGCGUCAUUGCUGCCCUCAAGCACGGCUUGUGUGUUGGGCUCCGUCCCCCGAUCCCGGGGGACGGGCCCGAAAGGCAGCGGCGGCACCGCGUCCGGUCCUCGAGCGUAUGGGGCUUUGUCACCCGCUCUGUAGGCCCGGCCGGCGCUUGCCGACACAUCAAUCUUUUUUCCAGGUUGACCUCGGAUCAGGUAGGGAUACCCGCUGAACUUAAGCAUAUCAAUAAGCGGAGGA
rnacentral:misc_RNA from 1 species